UACGUAGGGUCCGAGCGUUGUCCGGAAUGAUUGGGCGUAAAGCGUCCGUAGGUGGCGAUUCAAGUCUGCUGUUAAAGCGCAGGGCUUAACCCUGUAAAGGCGGUGGAAACUGGAGAGCUAGAGUGUGGUAGGGGUAGAGGGAAUUCCCGGUGUAGCGGUGAAAUGCGUAGAGAUCGGGAAGAACACCAGUGGCGAAAGCGCUCUACUGGGCCACAACUGACACUGAUGGACGAAAGCUAGGGGAGCGAAUGGG
rnacentral:rRNA from 1 species